AUCCAGUUGAAGAGUCCCAAAUAGGACGAAACGCGCACCAAACUGGAU
rnacentral:hammerhead_ribozyme from 1 species